UAGCCUCCAGGUGGCUCCAGGAUGUGCAGUACUGGCAUCUGGGUUUUGCUCGCAACCGUGAACUCCUGGUCCCACCGAGCCCUAGCGAGUGGAUUGGAGCACACACCCACCCACCUCCUCAGAUGCUCCUACGAGUAGAGGAGGUAUCUAGGCACGUAGGAGCUUGGCGCCGUGUUAGGUGCUCAGGAUACUGGUUGUCCGGAAUCCCAGUGAGGUGCAGUCCCGCCCUUGUUGUGCCACUUUCCCAUGCGCCUCCUGCCACCCUGGGGGUUGCAGAGGCUGCAGAGUUGUCCAGCUUGAGAAACUGUAUCAAGGUUGCUCCCUGACGGCCUGGCAACUCGCCGAAGAGCUGCCUUCAGUUCAAAACAGUUUUAGGGAGAUUGUCAUAAACUCAAUGAGUUUAAAUGAUUUUACGCUGACUCUUCAAAAGUGUCAAGGUCAUGAAAGACAAAGAAAGGCCGAGGAACUGCCCCAGACUGGAGGAGGCGGGAGACAUGGCAGCUGUGAAUGCACCGUGGGUCCUGAACCAGAAAAAGGAGCUCAGUGGGACAAUUGGUAACUUUUAGAUGCAAUCUGUCGGUGAGCUAAUAGUAUUGCUUCGAUGUUAAUUUCUUGGUUUUGAUCACUGUACUAUAACUAUGCAGAGUGUUAACAUUUGGGGAAGCUGGGUAAAGGGUAUGUGGGAAUUCUUUGUGCUAUUUUUGCAACUUUUCUCAUCAAGUUUGAAAUUAUUUCAAAAUUGAAAGCUAAUAAAAAUUACAAAAAUGUUCUUAACAUUAUUAUGGAAUAUUUCAAACAUAUAUAUAGAGAAUAAGCCUGGCCACUUUUACAGGUGACUCAAGGGUACUGUUGGCACCAGACAGAGGAAUGAAGUUCCUGUAGGAGUUAAGCCUUGAGCUCUGUUGUCUCGCUCUCUGUGUCCAGAGAUGGCUCCUGGUAGCUGAAUUAGACCAUUAUAUUUUGGGCAAGAGCUAUUUAAAUUUUUGACAGCCUCUACUUCAGAAUAAAUCAGCAGACAAUCCACCUCUAUGGCCAUAGUAUUUGCUUAGUGAGAUAGCACCUUAUUCCAAUGCUCUACUUAGCAAUUCUCUUGGGAGACAUUUUUUUUUUCCAGACCUUGUCUUUUAUCACAGGGAUCUAAUCAUUACUGUCUAAAACAAAAACGUAUAGAUGAAGAUGGCCCCAAUUGCUUAAUGCUGCUUUUGAUAUUUUUCUUUAACUUCUUUAACUUUCAAAAAUGAACUUUUAAUUUUAGAACAGUUUUAGAGUUUCAGAAAAAUUGCAAAGAUGAUACAGAGUUACCAUAUUCUCUGCAGCCAGUUCCCCCUAUAUUAUCAGCUUACCUUAGUAGGGUACAUUUGUUGCAAUUAAUGAACCAAUAUUGAUACAUCAAGAUUAAAGUCCAUAUUUUAUUUAGAUUUUCUCAGUCUAUCUAAUGUCUCUUUUCUAUUCCAGAAUCCCCUCCAAAAUUCCAAGAUAUCACAUUAAAUUUAGAUGUCAUGUCUAUUUAUGCUACUCUAGGGUGUGACAAUUUCUCAGACUUCUUUGUUUUUGAUGUCCUUGAUAUUUUUGAGGAGUAUGGGUAGAGUAUUUUUGUAGGAUGUCUCUUGAUUUGGGAUUUGUCUGAUAUUUUUCUCAUGAUUAAACUGGGGUUAUGUGUUUUUAGGAGGAAGACAACAGUGGUAAUGUGCCAUUUUCAUCACAUCAUAUCAAGAAUACAUAGUAUCUCUGGGCAUGGUGGCGGUCCAUAAAAAUUAGCUGGGUGUGGUGGCAGGCUGCUCAGGAGGCUGAGGCAGGAGGAUUGCUUGAACCCAGGAGGUGGGGGCUGCAGUAGGCCAAGAUUGUGCCACUGCACUCCAGCCUGGGUGACACAGCGAGACUCCACCUCAAAAAAGAAAUGCAUGAUAUUGGCCUUCACCACCUGGCCACCUGGUACUAUUUGUCGUGUUUCCCCACUGUAAAGUAAUUCCCACCUGCCUUCUACACUGAGCUCUUUGGAAGGAAGUCACUGCGUGCAGCCAAGAAGGAGCAGGGAGUUAUGCCUCACUGCUUUGAGGACAGUAUCUACGUAAAUUAUUUGGAAUUCUUCUCUAUGGAGGGAUUUAUCUCUUGCCUCCCAAUUAUUUAUUUAUUCAAUCCAUUUAUUUGUGUUAGUACAGACUCAUGGAUAUUUAUUUUAUACAUUGGGUUUUAAUCCAAUAUGACUUUAUUUUAUUGCUAAAAUUGUUUCAGCUUUGGCCAUUGGGAGCUCUUUCAGGUGGCUCCUAUGUUCCUAUUUAAUUGCUAUAUAAUAAUUGUACAUAUUAAUGUGGUACAUGUGUCAUUUUGAUCUGAGCAUAUAAUGUGUACUCAAAUCAGUGUAAUUGGGAUAUCCAUCACCUCAAAUUUAUCAUUUCUUUGUGUUGGGAACAUUCCAAAUCUUCCUUUCUUGCUAUUUUGAAAUACACAGUAAGUUCUUGUUAGCUAUAUUCAUUCUACUGUGCUAUCAGACACGAGAACUUCUUUCUUUUAUCUAACUGUAUUUUUGUACCCAUUAACCAACUUCUCUUCCUGCCUCCCCCUCACCCUUUCCUGGCCUCUGCUAACCACCAAUCUACUAUCUUCUUGAGGUCCACUUUUUAGCUCUUCCAUGAGAGUGAGAACAUGUGAUAUUUGUGUUUCUGUGCCUGACUUAUUUCAUUUAACAUGAUGUCUUCCUGUUUCAUUCGUGUUGCUGCAAAUGACAAAAUUUCAUUCCUUUUCAUGGCUGAAUAGUACUUUAUUGUGUCUAUAUGCCAUAUUUUUAAAUCCAUUCAUCUGUUGAUGGAUGCUUAGGUUGAUUCUACAUUUUUGCUAUUGUGAAUAGUGCUGCAGUAAAUAUGGGAGUGCAGAGAUCUCUGGUAUACUGGUUUCCUUUCUUUUGGAUAGAUACCCAGUAGCAGGAUUCCUGGAUCAUACGGUGGCUCUAUUUUUAGCUUUCUGAGGAACCUCCACACUGUUUUCCAUAGUGGUUAUACUAAUUUAUAUUUUUACCUAUGUGUACAAGCUUGCCCUUUCUCCAUGGCCUCAAGCAUGUUAUUUUCUGUCUUUUUGAUCAUAGCCAUUUUAACUGAAGUGAGAUGAUAUCUCAUUGUGGUUUUGAUCUGCAUUUCCAUGCUAAUUAGUGAUGUUGUGUUCCUUUGAUAUAUCCCCAUCAUCGAGACUUUUCUUUUGAGCACUUGCUUAUUUCCUGGCAUAAUAAGAUGUUCCAGGCUCAUCUUGUAUAUUUUCUGCUCCGGUGCUAGAAUCAGCCAUUUCUCCAAUGAGCUUUUGGGAGAUAUUUGCUUUCUUGAUUACAGUUAGGAUUUUCUCAUAAGGGAAGUUUGUUGAUGGCCUGCAAACAAAUAGUAAAAUACUGUGUGAUAUCAUGAAAAUUAAUUGCAUUUUUCCUUCUAGAUUUUGCAUAUAGAAGACGGUAAUUUUAAAAACAGUGAAAGAAGAAAUGUAUCUGAGAAUUCAAUCAGUCAAUAGACUUUAGAGUGACUAUGAUUUUUGUGUGCUCAAAGGCAUCUUUUCAGUUUGGCUUUGUAAUAUUUCUUUUUUUUUUUUUUGGUAGGAAAAUAUAAAUAAAAGAAGAAGGAGCAGGGGAAGUGGAAAGUCACCUGCAGGACCAGCCAUACCCCCUGUUGCUGCCCUCAUGGCCUAAGCAUCUGACAAGAAAACACAAAAGGUUCGGUUGGUGCAAUGUUCCUUUCUUCCCAGGACUUUCUGGUCUUCAAGGCUUUCUCAUGAGACAGAAGACUGAUGGAUGCAGAAGUUUCUAAGAGGACAGUUACGCUGCCAUGUUUUGAAGCAGGAAGACCUUACCACUUCUCAAAGGUCUUUAAUUGCCUGACCACUGCUUCUCUUUGGAAGGCUGUCAGGGUGAUGGAAUCUCAGAUCACAGCACAGAUAAAAUGGACAAAGAAAGAAAGAUACAAGAAGGAUGUAAAAAUGUCUAUAAUGAACUCAUGUAUCUUGCGGAAACCUCUAAUCUAAUGAGAAUGGAUUUUGUUGAGAAGAUUGUACACCAACAAUUAAUUAUUCAUGGCAGAGACAUCAUUAAGAUUUCAUUUUGUUUAAAGGCCUCUAAGUGACUUAGGAAAUUGGGUUAAGCUAGAGAAGAAUUUCAAGAAAGAGACAAGGGAAAGCUUUUCGUUAUAUUGACUUUUUCUAAUAUUUUCCAGAUAGAUAUUUUGACUUGGCACAUAAAUUAUACUCUGACUAAAAGUCUCCAAUGAUUUGUCUGAGUAAGAGUCUUUACAUGGGUGGAUCAUAUACUAGUGUGGUCAGAUGGAAGCAGAUUGACAGAGAUUUGUGAAAGGAUUAGGAGGUUUAUUCCAGAAUUCUAUAAUAAUUCAAUUUGGCUUUUUGGUUAGGAAUGUAGUGAGGAGUCUCCUUGAAAUGACAAUGGGAUUUGUGCAACCUGUGAUAUUUUGCACUCAAGGAUCCUUUUCCCAGUGCUCUAUGGGAUGUGAGCACCUGUUAACUUACAGUACAUGUAAGAUAAGACACUUUCAAUAAAAACUCUGGAGACCUGGAGUAGUAUAGGCCCUAUGCCUGCUUAUCUUAAAGACAAACACCAGAAAUUGGUGUCAGGUUGCGAGUUCAAUAUGAGAUUGAUUCAAAACAUAAAGCUAGAGAACUAGUGUAAAUUUUCAGGCAGAUAUUGAUUACAGGAUCAAUUUCUAUGGGCAAUUAAUGCAGGGGUUUGGUUUAUGUUUGAAUUCCAAGCACCCAGUGGUAUUCAAAAAUAGCACCCAAUUUUACGUAAAAUGUAAAAUUACAUUUUGUGUUCGAUUUGGGCACUCUGUCAUGAUUUACAAUAAAGGUUUGGGCUUUUGUUUUCUUGUUCCUUCAUUAAAAAGGUUAGGACUUGCCUUUCCUCCUUGAUCACUAUCCCAGUGUCCUGGGUGCUUGGGAUUCAAAACUAAACUAAAAUUUCUUAGUGGUUGAGAAAUGUUAAGGUUGAAAUAGUAGA